rnacentral:rRNA from 11 species
AUAAGCCACUGCUCCAAACCCUAAAGGCACCAGGUCCUGUCUGAUCUUGGAAGUUAAGUAGAGUCAGCCCUGGUCAGCAUUUGGAUGGGAGCCUGUCAAUGGAUACCAACUGGUGUGGGCUAUA